UUUUUGACAUGCUUUGCAUGGCUGGCUCCCUGCACAUAUGUGCGGCUAACGGUCAUGGACUGUCUGUUCACUGUCCCUUUGGUUGGCUUUUUGGCUCUUUGGGACUUGGAUUGGUUGCCUGUGUGGUAUUACCAUCUUGGUAGCUUGAUUGUCAUGUCGUUGCCUUUUUAGCCUACUCUGAUGAUGCUCUGCAUCGGCAGGGGGCCGAGGUGCCUCAUGUUCCCUGUGUUGCCAUGUGCCCGUGCCUUGGAAAUGCAUUUGGGAUUAUGUUGGAUCUCACGGAUAUUGUCUCUUUAGUGAGUGGUCUACGGUCUUUCGGCUUGUAGACUUAUGAGGUUGCCGGUGCACCUAUCGUUGUCCCUGAUGUUUUGCCAACAUGAGGUGGGUCGUGCCUCRAGUUGGUAGAUAUACAGGGCAUAUGAAUUACUGCCUGCUGUGGCAUGMSUUGAUGGAUUGACAUACGAUUGCUGGUCUGCGAGUUGUCAUGAGG
rnacentral:misc_RNA from 1 species